AAACCCUGAUCCAGCCAUCCCGCGUGUGCGAUGAAGGCCUUCGGGUUGUAAAGCACUUUUGGCAGGAAAGAAACGUCAUGGGUUAAUACCCCGUGAAACUGACGGUACCUGCAGAAUAAGCACCGGCUAACUACGUGCCAGCAGCCGCGGUAAUACGUAGGGUGCAAGCGUUAAUCGGAAUUACUGGGCGUAAAGCGUGCGCAGGCGGUUCGGAAAGAAAGAUGUGAAAUCCCAGAGCUUAACUUUGGAACUGCAUUUUUAACUACCGGGCUAGAGUGUGUCAGAGGGAGGUGGAAUUCCGCGUGUAGCAGUGAAAUGCGUAGAUAUGCGGAGGAACACCGAUGGCGAAGGCAGCCUCCUGGGAUAACACUGACGCUCAUGCACGAAAGCGUGGGGAGCAAACAGGAUUAGAUACCCUGGUAGUCCACGCCCUAAACGAUGUCAACUAGCUGUUGGGGCCUUCGGGCCUUGGUAGCGCAGCUAACGCG
rnacentral:rRNA from 1 species